rnacentral:rRNA from 1 species
UCGAGAAUCAUUCGCAAUGCGCGAAAGCGUGACGAUGCGACGCUGCGUGCAGGAUGAAGGCCUUCGGGUUGUAAACUGCUGUCGGGAGGGAGUAAUGAUCGGGAUAUUAACACCAUCCCGGAAUGAUAGUACCUUCGGAGGAAGCCACGGCUAACUCUGUGCCAGCAGCCGCGGUAAUACAGAGGUGGCGAGCGUUGUUCGGAUUUACUGGGCGUAAAGGGUGCGUAGGCGGCGCCGUAUGUCAGAUGUGAAAUGCAACGUUUCAUGCGUUGAAUUGCAUUUGAAACUGCGGUGCUAGAGUGCGGAAGAGGAAAGCGGAAUUCAUGGUGUAGCGGUGAAAUGCGUAGAUAUCAUGAAGAACACCGGAGGCGAAGGCGGCUUUCUGGAACGCAACUGACGCUGAGGCACGAAAGCUAGGGGAGCAAAAAGG